rnacentral:rRNA from 1 species
UACGUAGGGCGCAAGCGUUGUCCGGAAUUAUUGGGCGUAAAGAGCUCGUAGGUGGCUUGUUGCGUCUGCCGUGAAAGCCCGUGGCUUAACUGCGGGUCUGCGGUGGAUACGGGCAGGCUAGAGGCUGGUAGGGGCAAGCGGAAUUCCUGGUGUAGCGGUGAAAUGCGCAGAUAUCAGGAGGAACACCGGUGGCGAAGGCGGCUUGCUGGGCCAGUUCUGACGCUGAGGAGCGAAAGCGUGGGGAGCGAACAGG